GAUUACUCAGCGAUAUGCGAUUAAAAGCUUCAAAUUUGCAGAAACCCAUCUUCUUCAGCUCCUACUCUGCCCAUGAUGUCAGAUUCUCUUCUUUCUUAACCUCUCUUUUGAAUUCAUAUGUGGGCUUAAGAUUGUUGGUUUCAUUUCAUGUCUACUUUAUUCCUUUUGUAAUUUGACUUUUCGCUACCUGUCAAUAGCUUAUGGUGAAUUUGGCUUGUGGUAUCGCUAAAGCAUCAUAAUCUCUUCUUCAUUACUGCUAUGUUUCUACUUGUUGGAACAAAAUUUCAUUUAUUGGUGUGCCUUACUUUUCCCAGUGAAAUGAUUCAUAGCCUUACAAGAGAAUAUCAUAACCAUGUUAAAAAAAGCAAUAUGAAGUAAGGAAAACAAAAAUGUUCUAAUUAGUCUAUAUAGUUUAAGAAGACUAAAGCUAUUUCUUAUACUGACAAAUUCUUUUGGGGAUUAUAGAUAUGAGUAGUGUGUUGUAUUAUAAUGAUGCUUCUGCUACUUUCAAAUGCAGAUUCUCAGAGCGUCUUUCAUUGAGAAGUUUCUGGUCUCCAGAAUCCUUUUUGUGCACUUAAGAUUCCUUCUUGGUGUUUGGAGAAAGUUAAGUGAACAUCCCAGUGCAGUGACUUCAACAUGUUCUCAACUUCUCUUAUCACAUUUGAUUCGUCACGAACUAUUAGUUUACCUCCUGGUCUUACUAUUCUAUCCACUUCUGCCAUUACUGGAACAAGAUUGCACCUUUCAAAACAAAACAAAACAAGAGACUUAUUGUUGAUGAAACGUUACCAAAAGGUGUGGAUAUUAUGAGUUACGCUUAUACCUUGUUCUCAACUUUGAGAAAAGAUGAUCUGCAUGUAAGAGAUCAUAGCUUCGAGGGUAUGUGCUAAAUGAUUCACACCAGUCAUGAUAUAUUCCGAAUAGGCCUCUCUCGUAGAUUAUCGGUAGUGUAUCUGGUGAAUUUAUGUUUACUACAUUCAUUACCCACACCUGUAGGUCCUUCAGAGCUGCUGCAAACCUGCAUUUUUACGUAGUUAGUAAAAAAAGGUUUAGUUUUGGUAAGUGAGAUUUUAGUUUGAUUUGUUUUCGUUGAUGCUCACCCUCCGUAGACAGCUCGCAUGUCCAUUACAUUCCUCACAUUUGACCAGCUGAUUCCUAUUUCAUUCAUGUAUACUUUGCUUACAACAUGUUUCCAGUGUUCAUAAUCUGUAGUGAAAUCUCGAGGAGCUGGUUUCCCAUAUAUCCCCAUUUGAGAGCUGUUUAACCAGUAAGGCGGUGUUUGAAGCCGACGGGGCCAAUUCACGGGCCACUUGCUUCCUCUCUCGACCACAUUGGUAGGAACUUUAUGCAUACAUGCUUGUAGGGGUACAUACCUGAAAUUUCCAUUCAAGUUUUGACUUUCUUUGUUCUGUUAAAACCUUAUGGUUAUUCAUUCCCUAUGCAAAUUGUGGAAACAAUCAUACCAGGCUGCAUUUGCAUCGUCGUUGUUUUUGCACAGUGGAGGCUUGUUGUGCUUUCUUUUCUCGUAACAUUCAUUGGUGGCAGGUUUCUGGUAGAUUGCAGCACCAAUACCAUUGAGUUUAUCCUUGUUGAUUGUCACAAGUUCCCAGCACAAGGAUUUUGUCAACGCGGACAUUUCUACAUCACUCAAAACAUCUCAGGUUCAGUGAAACAAACAAAAGAAGGAGGAACUCUAGUUAAGUUCAAGCAUUUUACUUUAGUCAUUACCUUUCCAGAUUUGAACAUCUUCUUCAAGCUUCUGGUAGACUGGUGUUGCUGACCAGACAAAAUAACCUCCAGGCCUAAGCAUCCGAUUAAGUUCCAGAAGAAGCAUACCACCCUCAUUAUGCCAUGGGACUCUACAACGUGCACAGUGGAUAAGAUCAAACACUCUGCUCGGGAAUGGCAGUCGCUUAGAGCCCAUAACUGCUGAGAUGGCUGGAAUCUUUCUUUCAAGAGCAAACUGGACUUGAGCCUCGUGUUCAUCUUUUGGUGCAAGAGACAUUGCUAUAACAUCUCUUUCAAAGAGGAAACCGCCAAAGCUCGCCACUCCACAUCCAACAUCCAAUAUGACCCGAGUACGUUUACCCCACGCAAUGUUUUUCAAAGACUGCCAUAGUAGAAAAAAGGAACCAUUAUAUUCUGCAUAAAAUUUCUAUCUUUUACUUGUUGCAGUUUUAACACUAUACUGAAAUCAAGAAAUGAGUGUUCACCUGCUGAAGAAAAUCGAUAUAAUGAAGAGCUCCAUGGAUGAACUGUGUUCCACCACCAGGAAACGUCAAGAACUCGCCAGUGACCUUCACCCAGUUCUGAUGUCCUUUUACCUCAGCUAGCUUUGUGUGUGGGACAUUGUGGUACCAUAUCUACUAGAUCACAUACUUUACGGCAUCGUCUGGAAGCUUUCCCGGAUUGUCUUCAAAUGCCUGUUGCUCAUCAGACUCUUGUUUCGUGGGUUCGGGCUCAUCAUUACCGUUUGAAGAGGCAGACACAUCACUCCUCUCUGUCUCUGCGACAGCCGCUCGAGUGGAGCCUUGUGUGAUCUGCGGUGGAAUAACGGAAUUGGAAGAAAGCAUCCACACCCCGAAGACACACAGAGCCACAAAGAUGACCAUUGUAAUGGUCGACGCAUAGGACGACGUCGAAGUGCGUUUGUUGCCACGUCCCCUCCCGAAGGCCAUCUUUACGGUCUUGCGUAUAGUACUAGUUAUGGAGAAAGAAGAAGAAGAAAAAUGAAGGAGUAAAAUGGGAGUUGAAGGAAGUAAAAAUAGAAGAAAAAGAAGAGAAAGAGAGGUUGUGAAGAGACAAGACUGGAUCAAAGAUCCUAUAGAGUCGGAUAUGGGACUUUCAAUUUCGUGUCUCUAAAUUUAGUUAUGGUCUCUGUGUUUCAUAUUUUGUUGUCCAUGAAAAAUUAGUGCCAUGUAAUCCAAUGUUAACUUGUAACGCCUAGUCAAGGAUAUAUUAAACAUGGCAAGCUUGUGCUUUUUUGGUAUAAUGUAUUCGAAGACUGUUUAAUUUGAAUUUUGAUUGAUUAAGUAUGUUGAUU
rnacentral:lncRNA from 1 species